rfam:Chania multitudinisentens RB-25, complete genome.
UUUCUCUGCACAGGGGGAAGGAUGAGAAGCUUCGACAAGGUUCGAGUCGAGCGCAGCGAGACAACGCGCUUUAGCGCGGCCCGCAGGGCGAGGAGCAGCGAGACGAGUUAUCCUUCCCCCACCACCA